AACUCUUAGCGGUGGAUCACUCGGCUCGAGCGUCGAUGAAGAACGCAGCUAGCUGCGAGAAUUAAUGUGAAUUGCAGGACACAUUGAUCAUCGACACUUCGAACGCACUUGCGGCCCCGGGUUCCUCCCGGGGCCGCAAGUGCGUUCGAAGUGUCG
rnacentral:rRNA from 1 species